rnacentral:snoRNA from 1 species
GCGUGGGCCUUAAGAUCACAUUCCCACGGAGCUUGCUCCGUCUAUGGAAUGAAAUUGAGUCAUACCCGCGCAACAGUGAAGUAGGCGCGGGCGGCGGCGCGUUAUGCGCCGCCGCCUUUGCCGACUGCUGGCCCCGGCACGCCUGCCCCCGCAUGGGGGCGGCCCCGCCCGUGUGCGGCCCUCGUGCCACCUCAAAACA